AUGAGGCAACCUUUACAGUUACACACAGAAAUCUUUAUGCUUGAACUAAACAGCUAAAUGACGGCGAUGAAUAUAAAGUGAUUUAAAAAAAAAUCAGACUAAAAAUCAUCAGUACUCCAUCAUGAAUUCCUCAAGAGUGACAUCGUGUUCAUGAGGAGGGAGUAGAUGGACAUAUGUACUCAAGUGCUUAUGGUAUUAGCUUCAGCUGUCGCCAGUAUGGAAGCAUAAUAGGCAGCUCCUGCCGACGUCCAUUGAAAAAAAUUAAUUAAUGACUACUGAUUGAUCUGAAGUUACGAACCAGUCAAUACUUCCCCGACAAUUACAAUUCUGCUCCCCUCUUCCAGCAGCAUAAUUAAUUCCACUUUAAUAGGUUUUAGCUGCUUGUUACAGCACAAAUGGGAAAUUCCAUGGGAGUGAGAAUUUGCAUACUGGAAUAAGUUGGCAAGUAAUUACUCAAAAAGCCACGCUGUCAGAAAAGAGCUAAUCCAGUGGUGUAGCAUAUCCUCAGAUUUCCCCGUGUCUUAAAAAUAAAACGGACAUGGUUCUAUUGUUUUAAAACCCUUUUCCACACUCUUAAUCCUCCUAGUUUAAUUAGGGAAGAAAAAAAAAUACUGAAUCAGUUGGAAGAGAGAAGCACUGAGGGCUGAGUGUUCAAACAUCACUGUCCUAACAAGUGGAUUUUCAAUGUGCCAGUUGGAAAGAGAAUGGAGAUAAGAAUGUGCUUGUGGUUUUUCAGGUAAUGCGGGAGGUAACUGAGGAUCAGCACCUGUCCUUGUGGGUGUUUUGGCUGAUAACAGCACCGCCUUAAGAUGUCGACAUACAGGUUUGCUCAACAAGUGGAAGCAUACUAUGUUACCCUUUCCGCCCCAUGUUUCCAUCACGUCUUCUUCUGUGGUGCCAGGAAAAAUUAAGCAAGGCAGCGCGAGUCCCGGCUCGUCAACCCCGCCUCGUAAGAAUUUGUCAUUGAAACUAAUUCCAGUGAUUCUGGGUCAAAAUUUUAAAAUGCAUGUUCAGUUUUUUUUGGCAUGUUUAUUUCAGGUUGUGACCACAUUUUAAUUUUUUUAAGCCCUGUGUACAUCACACUGUUAAGUUUUAAUAUACAUCUACUCCUCCAUCAUUCCUCUCUGUCACGUCAGCGUAAAGAACAAACAAGAAUGUGCGAAUUUGAAUGUACAUUUUUUUAUUUAACACCUCUGAAAUAAUACAAUCAUUCUGAACUGCAGCUCAAGAAAGUUCAAAGUUUCCACAUACAUUUCUCUUUUCAUGAGAUUUGAGCUCCUGAUAAGUUUCAAAAUGCUCAAAUUUCUGUGUAACCUUGAUCAGCAUGCCUGAGCGCAAGCUGCAAAUGAACGACUCGACUGUGGGAACGUUUGAUAAUGGAAUCAUUUCAGCUGACAAAUUUAGCCAAAUUUUGAAGGGAAUCUAUUCACAAGCGAGCGAAAGAGUUACACACCAUACAAGUUGGUAAUUUUUUAGGACAAACACACAUAGAUACAUAUAUACACA